ensembl:lncRNA GTF2IP1 general transcription factor IIi pseudogene 1
AGCGAACACCAGCUGCUCCCCGCGCCGGGCGCCGCGCGCCGCUGCUCCGCCGCUCGGCCCCUCGGCUGCUGCUCCGCCGGCGCUGCCUCCCUCGCCCCGCGGCUCCCCCUUGCAACUUGGCGGGCCUCCUCCCUUUUGUCCGGCCCGGCCCGGCCGCCGCCGCCCCCCGCGCCCGGCGCCGAGCUCCCGGGUCUCCGGGCCGGCUGUCGGUGCCGGCAGGGCGCGGAGGGGGCGGGGGCCGCGGCUCGUCCCCCCGCGGAUGAGCCGCCGCGGACGGGGCGCGGGCGGACGAUGGAACUCCACAUCCUGGAGCACCGGCUGCAAGUUGCCAGCGUCGCCAAGGAGAGUAUCCCGCUGUUCACCUACGGCCUGAUCAAACUUGCCUUCCUGUCCUCCAAGACCAGAUGAUGAUUAUUCUCCACCGUCUAAGAGACCAAAGGCCAAUGAGCUACCGCAGCCACCAGUCCCGGAACCCGCCAAUGCUGGGAAGCGGAAAGUGAGGGAGUUCAACUUCGAGAAAUGGAAUGCUCGCAUCACUGAUCUACGUAAACAAGUUGAAGAAUUGUUUGAAAGGAAAUAUGCUCAAGCCAUAAAAGCCAAAGGUCCGGUGACGAUCCCGUACCCUCUUUUCUAGUCUCAUGUUGAAGAUCUUUAUGUAGAAGGACUUCCUGAAGGAAUUCCUUUUAGAAGGCCAUCUACUUACGGAAUUCCUCGCCUGGAGAGGAUAUUACUUGCAAAGGAAAGGAUUCGUUUUGUGAUUAAGAAACAUGAGCUUCUGAGUUCAACACGUGAAGAUUUACAGCUUGAUAAGCCAGCUUCAGGAGUAAAGGAAGAAUGGUAUGCCAGAAUCACUAAAUUAAGAAAGAUGGUGGAUCAGCUUUUCUGCAAAAAAUUUGCGGAAGCCUUGGGGAGCACUGAAGCCAAGGCUGUACCGUACCAAAAAUUUGAGGCACACCCGAAUGAUCUGUACGUGGAAGGACUGCCAGAAAACAUUCCUUUCCGAAGUCCCUCAUGGUAUGGAAUCCCAAGGCUGGAAAAAAUCAUUCAAGUGGGCAAUCGAAUUAAAUUUGUUAUUAAAAGACCAGAACUUCUGACUCACAGUACCACUGAAGUUACUCAGCCAAGAACGAAUACACCAGUCAAAGAAGAUUGGAAUGUCAGAAUUACCAAGCUACGGAAGCAAGUGGAAGAGAUUUUUAAUUUGAAAUUUGCUCAAGCUCUUGGACUCACCGAGGCAGUAAAAGUACCAUAUCCUGUGUUUGAAUCAAACCCGGAGUUCUUGUAUGUGGAAGGCUUGCCAGAGGGGAUUCCCUUCCGAAGCCCUACCUGGUUUGGAAUUCCACGACUUGAAAGGAUCGUCCGCGGGAGUAAUAAAAUCAAGUUCGUUGUUAAAAAACCUGAACUAGUUAUUUCCUACUUGCCUCCUGGGAUGGCUAGUAAAAUAAACACUAAAGCUUUGCAGUCCCCCAAAAGACCACGAAGUCCUGGGAGUAAUUCAAAGGUUCCUGAAAUUGAGGUCACCGUGGAAGGCCCUAAUAACAACAAUCCUCAAACCUCAGCUGUUCGAACCCCGACCCAGACUAACGGUUCUAACGUUCCCUUCAAGCCACGAGGGAGAGAGUUUUCCUUUGAGGCCUGGAAUGCCAAAAUCACGGACCUAAAACAGAAAGUUGAAAAUCUCUUCAAUGAGAAAUGUGGGGAAGCUCUUGGCCUUAAACAAGCUGUGAAGGUGCCGUUCGCGUUAUUUGAGUCUUUCCCGGAAGACUUUUAUGUGGAAGGCUUACCUGAGGGUGUGCCAUUCCGAAGACCAUCGACUUUUGGCAUUCCGAGGCUGGAGAAGAUACUCAGAAACAAAGCCAAAAUUAAGUUCAUCAUUAAAAAGCCCGAAAUGUUUGAGACGGCGAUUAAGGAGAGCACCUCCUCUAAGAGCCCUCCCAGAAAAAUAAAUUCAUCACCCAAUGUUAAUACUACUGCAUCAGGUGUUGAAGACCUUAACAUCAUUCAGGUGACAAUUCCAGAUGAUGAUAAUGAAAGACUCUCGAAAGUUGAAAAAGCUGUCGCUAAGAGAACAAGUGAAUGACCUCUUUAGUCGGAAAUUUGGUGAAGCUAUUGGUAUGGGUUUUCCUGUGAAAGUUCCCUACAGGAAAAUCACAAUUAACCCUGGCUGUGUGGUGGUUGAUGGCAUGCCCCCGGGGGUGUCCUUCAAAGCCCCCAGCUACCUGGAAAUCAGCUCCAUGAGAAGGAUCUUAGACUCUGCCGAGUUUAUCAAAUUCACGGUCAUUAGACCAUUUCCAGGACUUGUGAUUAAUAACCAGCUGGUUGAUCAGAGUGAGUCAGAAGGCCCCGUGAUACAAGAAUCAGCUGAACCAAGCCAGUUGGAAGUUCCAGCCACAGAAGAAAUAAAAGAGACUGAUGGAAGCUCUCAGAUCAAGCAAGAACCAGACCCCACGUGGUAGACCUCUUCCCUCCUAGGGUAAAUCAGCUUCUGUGUCAGGGAUGCUGUGUGGCGUCCAUCUGAACCCCCUGCAUACGCGUAGCUAAUGUGAUCUCCCCACUUUCACAUAAGAUGGUGGCCCUGCCUUCAGGGAAUGUGGGAGCCAGGUGGGAGCCUUCCCGGAUAUUUAAGCUAGAA